CCUACGGGCGGCAGCAGUGAGGAAUAUUGGGCAAUGGACGAGAGUCUGAACCAGCCAAGUAGCGUGAAGGAUGACUGCCCUAUGGGUUGUAAACUUCUUUUAUAAAGGAAUAAAACGAGGCACGUGUGCCUUUUUGCAUGUACUUUAUGAAUAAGGAUCGGCUAACUCCGUGCCAGCAGCCGCGGUAAUACGGAGGAUCCGAGCGUUAUCCGGAUUGAUUGGGUGUAAAGGGAGCGUAGAUGGGUUGUUAAGUCAGUUGUGAAAGUUUGCGGCUCAACCGUAAAAUUGCAAUUGAUACUGACAGUCUUGAGUACAGUUGAGGUAGGCGGAAUUCGUGGUGUAGCGGUGAAAUGCUUAGAUAUCACGAAGAACCCCGAUUGCGAAGGCAGCUUACUAAACUGUAACUGACAUUGAUGCUCGAAAGUGUGGGUAUCAAACAGGAUUAGAUACCCGUGUAGUC
rnacentral:rRNA from 1 species